rnacentral:rRNA from 1 species
AGUGGGGGAUAACGUAGCGAAAGUUACGCUAAUACCGCAUAUUCUGUGAGCAGGAAAGAGGGGGAUCGCAAGACCUCUCGCUUUCGGAGCGGCCGAUGUCGGAUUAGCUAGUUGGCGGGGUAAAGGCCCACCAAGGUAACGAUCCGUAGCGGGUCUGAGAGGAUGAUCCGCCACACUGGGACUGAGACACGGCCCAGACUCCUACGGGAGGCAGCAGUGGGGAAUUUUGGACAAUGGGCGCAAGCCUGAUCCAGCCAUGCCGCGUGAGUGAAGAAGGCCUUCGGGUUGUAAAGCUCUUUCGGCUGGGAAGAAAUCGCAUCUCCUAAUACGGGGUGCGGAUGACGGUACCAGCAUAAGAAGCACCGGCUAACUACGUGCCAGCAGCCGCGGUAAUACGUAGGGUGCGAGCGUUAAUCGGAAUUACUGGGCGUAAAGCGUGCGCAGGCGGUUUCGUAAGACAGACGUGAAAUCCCCGGGCUCAACCUGGGAACUGCGUUUGUGACUGCGAGGCUAGAGUAUGGCAGAGGGGGGUGGAAUUCCA